ensembl:lncRNA
CGCUGAGAAACCUGGAGGUCAGGGCGGCGCCCAGGAGGCUUCUGUCCUGCUGCUGAGGUCGCGCCCAGCAAGGCUUUUCCAGACCGACUCAUUUGGGAGGGCCUGUAUUCACCGUUGGGGUGUGUGUGAAGCCGUCAGUGCGCCCUCAGGCAUCACCCUGCAGAGACCAAGUUGCCAACAUCUGCUGGAUCAUAGAAAAAAUAAGAGAAUUCCAGAAAAACAUCUGCUUCAUUGACUACGCUAAAGCCUUUGACUGUGUGGGUCACAACAAACUGUGGAAAAUUCUUCCAACAAAAUGGCACAGAUUCCAGUGUUGAUGCAUUCAGACAAAUCGACUCCCAGACAGGG